AGAAUAAUAAAUAAAAAACUCACCGGCGGUAGGAAAGUAUCUCUCAAAAGGUCCGCCGCGUUUAAUCGGUGUAAGCGAGUGCGAACGCGUAGAGGCUACUGCCACCUGCAACGCCGUCUCCAAUUCUCUGGCCAACUAAAGGUGGCCGCGACAAGCGAACCGACGAAUAAAAAAAAACAGAAACUAUCUUGUUACACCAAUCGUAACAACUCUCUUUUUUUACGUAUGAAUCAAGUCAUUUUCCCUUUGCGGAAAAACUAAAAAGUAAUACCGAGGGGGUGGGGCGGGAGGAAAAUACACGUUGACCGGAAAAAAAGUAAUCGACCGAAGCUGUUGUCUUUAGAGUGCAACGGAAACGAUUCGCACAUUUUUAAAGUGCUAUAGAUAAACUAAUAGGAACUAAUUGGGGAGUGGUUUCUACCUGAUAGUGUCAGAUAGAGGUCAUAUAUGGUUCCUCGCCUUACUGGUGGCAGGCGCUUACUGCGUUGGCUGUUCAGAGCCAUCGCAACGUCCGCUUCCAGCGUUCAGCGGCAAAAAUCGGCAAACGAAAAAUCACGGUUUAACGAAUGCAAAAAUCUUCACGUUUUUCAUAUUGAACAAAUCUUUUUGAGGACAUCUUUAGCACAGUCAUUAUUAUAAUAUAUCAUAUGUAACAAGAUGUACCUUGUAAUGACCCCAUGUUUGAGAGAUACAAAAGCUGAUUUUGUACUUGAUAUUCAUGAGAGGCAA